rnacentral:rRNA from 1 species
ACUUCAGGACGGGGACAACAGUUGGAAACGACUGCUAAUACCCGAUGUGCCGAAAGGUGAAACCUAAUUGGCCUGAAGAAGAGCUUGCGUCUGAUUAGCUAGUUGGUGGGGUAAAGGCCUACCAAGGCGACGAUCAGUAGCUGGUCUGAGAGGAUGAGCAGCCACACUGGGACUGAGACACGGCCCAGACUCCUACGGGAGGCAGCAGUGGGGAAUUUUCCGCAAUGGGCGAAAGCCUGACGGAGCAACGCCGCGUGAGGGAGGAAGGUCUUUGGAUUGUAAACCUCUUUUCUCAAGGAAGAAGUUCUGACGGUACUUGAGGAAUCAGCCUCGGCUAACUCCGUGCCAGCAGCCGCGGUAAUACGGGGGAGGCAAGCGUUAUCCGGAAUUAUUGGGCGUAAAGCGUCCGCAGGUGGUCAGCCAAGUCUGCCGUCAAAUCAGGUUGCUUAACGACCUA